rnacentral:rRNA from 1 species
AGGAUGAACGUUGGCGGCGUGCCUAACACAUGCAAGUCGAGCGGGCGUAGCAAUACGUCAGCGGCAGACGGGUGAGUAACGCGUGGGAACGUACCUUUUGGUUCGGAACAGCCCAGGGAAACUUGGGCUAAUACCGGAUAAGCCCUUACGGGGAAAGAUUUAUCGCCGAAAGAUCGGCCCGCGUCUGAUUAGCUAGUUGGUGAGGUAAUGGCUCACCAAGGCGACGAUCAGUAGCUGGUCUGAGAGGAUGAUCAGCCACAUUGGGACUGAGACACGGCCCAAACUCCUACGGGAGGCAGCAGUGGGGAAUAUGGACAAUGGGCGCAAGCCUGAUCCAGCCAUGCCGCGUGAGUGAUGAAGGCCCUAGGGUUGUAAAGCUCUUUUGUGCGGGAAGAUAAUGACGGUACCGCAAGAAUAAGCCCCGGCUAACUUCGCGCCAGCAGCCGC